AGUGAACGCUGGCGGCGUGCUUAACGCAUGCAAGUCGAACGAGAACGGGUUAUAGCUUGCUAUAAUUGUCAGCUAAGUGGCGCACGGGUAAGUAAUGUAUAGGUAAUAUGCCUCUUACUAAGGGAUAACAAAUGGAAACGUUUGCUAAUACCUUAUACUCCUUAUUAACAUAAGUUAAUAAGGGAAAGAUUUAUUGGUAAGAGAUUAGCCUGUAUUGUAUCAGUUAGUUGGUGGGGUAAUGGCUUACCAAGACUAUGACACAUAACUGGUUUGAGAGGAUGAUCAGUCACACUGGAACUGAGACACGGUCCAGACUCCUACGGGAGGCAGCAGUGGGGAAUAUUGCACAAUGGACGAAAGUCUGAUGCAGCAACGCCGCGUGGAGGAUGACACAUUUCGGUGCGUAAACUCCUUUUAUAUGAGAAGAUAAUGACGGUAUUAUAUGAAUAAGCACCGGCUAACUCCGUGCCAGCCGCCGCCGUAACAC
rnacentral:rRNA from 1 species